rnacentral:rRNA from 1 species
AACGCUAGCUACAGGCUUAACACAUGCAAGUCGAGGGGCAGCAUUUCAGUUUGCUUGCAAACUGGAGAUGGCGACCGGCGCACGGGUGAGUAACACGUAUCCAACCUGCCGAUAACUCGGGGAUAGCCUUUCGAAAGAAAGAUUAAUACCCGAUGGUAUAAUCAGACCGCAUGGUCUUGUUAUUAAAGAAUUUCGGUUAUCGAUGGGGAUGCGUUCCAUUAGGCAGUUGGUGAGGUAACGGCUCACCAAACCUUCGAUGGAUAGGGGUUCUGAGAGGAAGGUCCCCCACAUUGGAACUGAGACACGGUCCAAACUCCUACGGGAGGCAGCAGUGAGGAAUAUUGGUCAAUGGGCGCAGGCCUGAACCAGCCAAGUAGCGUGAAGGAUGACUGCCCUAUGGGUUGUAAACUUCUUUUAUAUGGGAAUAAAGUUUUCCACGUGUGGAAUUUUGUAUGUACCAUAUGAAUAAGGAUCGGCUAACUCCGUGCCAGCAGCCGCGGUAAUACGGAGGAUCCGAGCGUUAUCCGGAUUUAUUGGGUUUAAAGGGAGCGUAGGUGGACAGUUAAGUCAGUUGUGAAAGUUUGCGGCUCAACCGUAAAAUUGCAGUUGAUACUGGCUGUCUUGAGUACAGUAGAGGUGGGCGGAAUUCGUGGUGUAGCGGUGAAAUGCUUAGAUAUCACGAAGAACUCCGAUUGCGAAGGCAGCUCACUGGACUGCAACUGACACUGAUGCUCGAAAGUGUGGGUAUCAAACAGGAUUAGAUACCCUGGUAGUCCACACAGUAAACGAUGAAUACUCGCUGUUUGCGAUAUACAGUAAGCGGCCAAGCGAAAGCAUUAAGUAUUCCACCUGGGGAGUACGCCGGCAACGGUGAAACUCAAAGGAAUUGACGGGGGCCCGCACAAGCGGAGGAACAUGUGGUUUAAUUCGAUGAUACGCGAGGAACCUUACCCGGGCUUAAAUUGCAUUUGAAUAUAUUGGAAACAGUAUAGUCGUAAGACAAAUGUGAAGGUGCUGCAUGGUUGUCGUCAGCUCGUGCCGUGAGGUGUCGGCUUAAGUGCCAUAACGAGCGCAACCCUUAUCUUUAGUUACUAACAGGUCAUGCUGAGGACUCUAGAGAGACUGCCGUCGUAAGAUGUGAGGAAGGUGGGGAUGACGUCAAAUCAGCACGGCCCUUACGUCCGGGGCUACACACGUGUUACAAUGGGGGGUACAGAAGGCAGCUACCUGGUGACAGGAUGCUAAUCCCAAAAGCCUCUCUCAGUUCGGAUCGAAGUCUGCAACCCGACUUCGUGAAGCUGGAUUCGCUAGUAAUCGCGCAUCAGCCAUGGCGCGGUGAAUACGUUCCCGGGCCUUGUACACACCGCCCGUCAAGCCAUGAAAGCCGGGGGUACCUGAAGUACGUAACCGCAAGGAGCGUCCUAGGGUAAAACUGGUAA